CCUACGGGAGGCAGCAGUGGGGAAUCUUGCACAAUGGGGGAAACCCUGAUGCAGCGACGCCGCGUGAGCGACGAAGCCCUUCGGGGUGUAAAGCUCUUUCGGCAGGGACGAUAAUGACGGUACCUGCAGAAGAAGCUGCGGCUAACUACGUGCCAGCAGCCGCGGUAAUACGUAGGCAGCAAGCGUUGUUCGGAAUUACUGGGCGUAAAGCGUGCGUAGGCGGUCGGCUAAGUUUGGUGUGAAAUCUCCCGGCUCAACCGGGAGGGUGCGCCGAAAACUGGCCGGCUAGAGUGCGGGAGAGGGAAGUGGAAUUCCUGGUGUAGCGGUGAAAUGCGUAGAUAUCAGGAGGAACACCGGUGGUGAAGACGGCUUCCUGGACCGUGACUGACGCUGAGGCACGAAAGCGUGGGGAGCAAACAGGAUUAGAUCCCCCUGUAGU
rnacentral:rRNA from 1 species